CUCAUAGCGUAUAUUAAGUUGUUGCAGUUAAAACGCUCGUAGUCGGAUUUCGGGGCGGGCUGCUCGGUCUGCCGAUGGGUAUGCACUGGGUGGCGCGUCCUUCCUUCCGGAGACCGCGCCUUCUCUUAACUGAGCGGGCGCGGGAGACGGAACGUUUACUUUGAAAAAAUCAGAGUGUUUCAAGCAGGCAUCUCGCUCUUGCAUGGAUUAGCAUGGGAUAAUGAAAUAGGACUUUGGUGCUAUUUUGUUGGUUUCGAACACCGAAGUAAUGAUUAACAGGGACAGUCAGGGGCACUCGUAUUCCGUCGAGAGAGGUGAAAUUCUCAGACCAACGGAAGACGAACCACUGCGAAAGCAUUUGCCAGGGAUGUUUUCACUGAUCAAGAACGAAAGUUAGGGGAUCGAAGACGAUCAGAUACCGUCGUAGUCUUAACCAUAAACCAUGCCGACUAGGGAUUCGAGGGUGUUCCAUCUGUGACCCCUUGAGCACCUUUCGGGAAACUAAAGUCUUUGGGUUCCGGGGGGAGUAUGGUCGCAAGGCUGAAACUUAAAGGA
rnacentral:rRNA from 1 species